rnacentral:rRNA from 1 species
UGGGGGAUAUUGCACAAUGGGCGCAAGCCUGAUGCAGCGACGCCGCGUGGGGGAUGAAGGCCUUCGGGUUGUAAACUUCUUUUGCUCUGAACAAGGCGCACUUUGGGGUGUGUUGAGUGUAGGGGUUGAUUAGCGCCGGCUAAUUACGUGCCAGCAGCCGCGGUAAUACGUAGGGCGCGAGCGUUGUCCGGAAUUAUUGGGCGUAAAGGGCUUGUAGGUGGCUGGUUGCGUCUGUCGUGAAAGCUCAUGGCUUAACUGUGGGUUUGCGGUGGGUACGGGCUGGCUUGAGUGCAGUAGGGGAGGCUGGAAUUCCUGGUGUAGCGGUGGAAUGCGCAGAUAUCAGGAGGAAUACCGGUGGCGAAGGCGGGUCUCUGGGCUGUUACUGACACUGAGGAGCGAAAGCAUGGGGAGCGAACAGG